CAAGAGAUAGUAUAAAUAGUUAAUUACAUGACGCUUACAACGUCAAAAUAGGGGUUUAAGCCCUUUCUCUUGA
rnacentral:tRNA from 1 species